rnacentral:rRNA from 1 species
UUUUAUGGAGAGUUUGAUCCUGGCUCAGGAUGAACGCUGGCGGCGUGCCUAAUACAUGCAAGUCGAGCGAACGGACGAGAAGCUUGCUUCUCUGAUGUUAGCGGCGGACGGGUGAGUAACACGUGGAUAACCUACCUAUAAGACUGGGAUAACUUCGGGAAACCGGAGCUAAUACCGGAUAAUAUUUUGAACCGCAUGGUUCAAAAGUAAAAGACGGUCUUGCUGUCACUUAUAGAUGGAUCCGCGCUGCAUUAGCUAGUUGGUAAGGUAACGGCUUACCAAGGCAACGAUGCAUAGCCGACCUGAGAGGGUGAUCGGCCACACUGGAACUGAGACACGGUCCAGACUCCUACGGGAGGCAGCAGUAGGGAAUCUUCCGCAAUGGGCGAAAGCCUGACGGAGCAACGCCGCGUGAGUGAUGAAGGUCUUCGGAUCGUAAAACUCUGUUAUUAGGGAAGAACAUAUGUGUAAGUAACUGUGCACAUCUUGACGGUACCUAAUCAGAAAGCCACGGCUAACUACGUGCCAGCAGCCGCGGUAAUACGUAGGUGGCAAGCGUUAUCCGGAAUUAUUGGGCGUAAAGCGCGCGUAGGCGGUUUUUUAAGUCUGAUGUGAAAGCCCACGGCUCAACCGUGGAGGGUCAUUGGAAACUGGAAAACUUGAGUGCAGAAGAGGAAAGUGGAAUUCCAUGUGUAGCGGUGAAAUGCGCAGAGAUAUGGAGGAACACCAGUGGCGAAGGCGACUUUCUGGUCUGUAACUGACGCUGAUGUGCGAAAGCGUGGGGAUCAAACAGGAUUAGAUACCCUGGUAGUCCACGCCGUAAACGAUGAGUGCUAAGUGUUAGGGGGUUUCCGCCCCUUAGUGCUGCAGCUAACGCAUUAAGCACUCCGCCUGGGGAGUACGACCGCAAGGUUGAAACUCAAAGGAAUUGACGGGGACCCGCACAAGCGGUGGAGCAUGUGGUUUAAUUCGAAGCAACGCGAAGAACCUUACCAAAUCUUGACAUCCUUUGACAACUCUAGAGAUAGAGCUUUCCCCUUCGGGGGACAAAGUGACAGGUGGUGCAUGGUUGUCGUCAGCUCGUGUCGUGAGAUGUUGGGUUAAGUCCCGCAACGAGCGCAACCCUUAAGCUUAGUUGCCAUCAUUAAGUUGGGCACUCUAAGUUGACUGCCGGUGACAAACCGGAGGAAGGUGGGGAUGACGUCAAAUCAUCAUGCCCCUUAUGAUUUGGGCUACACACGUGCUACAAUGGACAAUACAAAGGGCAGCGAAACCGUGAGGUCAAG